CCUACGGGUGGCAGCAGUGGGGAAUAUUGCACAAUGGGGGAAACCCUGAUGCUGCGACGCCGCGUGAGUGAAGAAGGAUUUCGGUAUGUAAAGCUCUAUCAGCAGGGAAGCAAAUGACGGUACCUGAUUAAGAAGCACCGGCUAACUACGGGCCAGCAGCCGCGGUAAUACGUAGGGGGCAAGCGUUAUCCGGAUUUACUGGGUGUAAAGGGAGCGUAGACGGCAGCACAAGUCUGGAGUGAAAGGCCGGGGCUUAACCCCGGGACUGCUUUGGAAACUGUGCAGCGAGAGUGCAGGAGAGGGAAGUGGAAUUCCUAGUGUAGCGGUGAAAUGCGUAGAUAUUAGGAGGAACACCAGUGGCGAAGGCGGCUUACUGGACUGUAACUGACGUUGAGGCACGAAGGCGUGGGGAGCGAACAGGAUUAGAUACCCGGGUAGUC
rnacentral:rRNA from 1 species